rnacentral:lncRNA from 1 species
UAAAAUUCAUAAAUUGAUCAUAUAUAAAAACACUAGAAAACUCAUUUGAGUAAUUUAGUAUUUAUUUGUUAUUUAUGAUAUAAUUUAGUUUUUCUGUUAUUGUUAGAAUAAAAUAAAACAGAGCUCUUUGUAAUACAACAUAAACGGAAAGCUGAGUAUUUGAACUAGAAACAAGGAUCAAAAGUAUUGGUUUGUUCAGAGCAUCUCCAACAAUCCUCUUUAUUUUAAAAGAAAGAUCCACUUAAAAUAAAAAAAAAUAAAAGAAUAGAUUUUAUUACUCAAACUUAAGCGUAGCCUGAAUGGCUUACCAAACUAAAAACCCCCAGGGAGGAUGGCUGAGUGUGAAGAGGAUAUUGAACGGGUUGCAGCAGAAUACUUCCAAGUUCUCUUUACCACAUCAAGCCCCAAAAUUUUUGAUGAAGCCCUCCGGUAUGUUACCG